rnacentral:tRNA from 1 species
GCCUGGGUGGCUCAGUCGGUUAAGCAUCUGACUCUUGAUUUCGGCUCAGGUCAUGAUCUCACAGUCGUGGGUUCAAGCCCCACGUCGGGCU